GUGAUCUUCUGCCACACGCAGGGGGAAAAAUCUCAUUUUCAGGUGCUUUGGACUGAGACACGUAGAAAUAAUCUUGCAAGAGCAAUAUUCACCACCCCUCUGCUGUCCCGGCCCCUCCCGCCCAUCCCCAGGGGAGUAGGGCUGCUCGCUCGGUGCAACUUCCUCCAUUUGAUGGGCAUCCUGUGACUGAGGACGAGGACACAGCCUGUGUCACUGUCACCCUGGGCUACACGCCAGCCCGGUUGAGCAGGUGAACCCACUAGUCACAAGGGUGGGAAGGCACCCCGGCCUUACAUUCACUGAGCCACUUGUUGGGAUCCAGCAUCAGAUACUGUUUGGUCGCCUCCAGCUCCUUCAUCAGCCACUCGUACUUCGCGCGGACCUCGGCGAUCCUCUGCUGGCGGUGUUCCAGAAUCUUCAGCUUUGCAUUGAAGCACAUGGCCUCCUAGCACACAGACAGAGAGGAGAAAGGGCCCUUCUGCUCACACCCAGCCCACACCACAGGAGCACCUAGACCAACUCUGGUAAAUACGGGAGGGGACUACACAAGGGUGUGAACACCAGGAGGCAGAGACCAUGGGGGCCAUCUUGGAGCCUGGCUACCGCGGAUGGGAUAUGAUCAGAUGGGAAAAUGUCUUGGAUAAGAGCCACCCUCCAUCUCCUGCCAAUACCCGUGCCAGGGCACCGUGUGAGAUGGGAGUAGAGAAAAACACCUGGAGAGUCCUGCCAAUACCCGUGCCAGGGCACCGUGUGAGCUGGGAGUAGAGAAGGCCUGGCUGACAGCUGCGUGCAGUCAGAGGGGUCGCUGGCCCAUCACAGUCCAUCUUCCGGUAUCAUCUGCGGUGCUGACAGCCCACGUGAGAAGCUGACAUUGGGCCUUCUACUCUUAACAUCCCUGAGUCCAGACAGAAGUCCCCACACGAGUCUGCAGAUGCUGCUGCUGAGGUUAAGUGUUGGGAAACAUGGGUGUUCUGAGUGCUGAGCCCUCUCAGCUCCCCCUGGGGAAUAUGCUUCUGCCCAUUCCCAAACUCCUGCUCCUGAGAGCCCUCCAGCAUGGCUUUCGCUCCAUCGCCCACUGUCUGCAUUCUGAUUCAAAGAGUAGGCACUAGGAAGACAGUCAAAAAAGCACGAGGCACUAAUGUUGAAAGGAACUGUAGAUAUCAGAGCAGAGAGAGAAAGAGAAUGUGAAUCAAUCCAUGUGAUUUUGUUGACCAGGAAGGGGCCAGCUCCAUGAUGAAGAACGAUGCUGGCUGUGUGGCCUGCUGUCAUGUUUUAGCUGAAAAGGCAAGUGCUCCCGUGCUGGGGAUGAGAAAGAGGCAGGUUCUCCAGGGCCACAAAGCUCUCCUCGAUGCCGAGCCUGGGCUUCCUCCCGUGUUCUCUGCGAUUCCGAACCCCGCACCUAGGACCACAGUGUCAUCUCACAGCAUCAGCGCCACCUACUCUCUUUGGGGUUCUAUUCUAAGGAGCUUCCUUGGUGUCUGAGAGAAUCAAUGACUCUCCUCCUUUUCCCCCAACUGUGUAUUCAAAAAGGCUCUCAUUCUGAACCUAUUCUCAACUGGCUCUAGGUUGGUUCGCUUAGAAACAUUCUGGAAAUCUGAAGUCUGACAGCAAGCGGC
rnacentral:lncRNA from 10 species